CUCUCUCUCUCUCUCUCUCUCUGUACCUCACCCCCUAACUUAAACAGAAAGUUAUAGAGAUUCUCUAACAGUUGCCUUACCGACACUGGCUUGUUGGGAAGUACUUUGGCAGUGUUCAGGUAGGGCUGGGCGGUCUGCUGAUGAGAGCUGGGAUAUUUAAGAACUGCAUAGAUGACUGGGCUAUAUACAUUACAAGAUGGCUCUAGCCUUGAGAUCUUGUGAUUCUAAACAGUGUGUGUUUAAAUUAAUCAAGAGAGAUCUAAGACCAAUCUUAUUUCAGGAUCCAUAUUAUUUUUCUGAAUUCUAUCCUAAUAUGUACUCUGUGGAGUUGUACAUAAGAAGUUACUCUUAAUUUUAGAGUACAUUAGCGUAAAUGCAGUCUUACCAAAGCCCCAACAAACUCCAGAAAUUAGAACACUUUUAUCAGUCUCAUGUCUGAUCUCAUAUUUGGGGCUCCCCUACAGCCAGUGGGGCAGAGACAGAGCAUCCACACAAGGUAAAAAAAAAUGCCUUAAGUAUA